UAAACAGAAAAUCAGCCAGAUUAGCCUUUGC
rnacentral:piRNA from 1 species